rnacentral:misc_RNA from 1 species
GUUGCAUUAUUGAAUAGAAGAGUUGCAUUAUUGAAUAGACAAAUAAUUAUCGAAAUCCUUGAAUAUUCUAAUGGAUUAGAGUCCUAAUAAAGUUCGCACGCACCCACCCCCCUCCCUUGUAUCUCACUCCGCAGGCUCCAGUCGCCGGCCAUCAUAUUGUUACCGACUUUUGUUGUAGUGGUCAUGUUAGCAAAACUGUAGCGGGCGACUCUGCGACUUUGAUGGGUUGCUUAUUGAGCAAGACCAGUACUGACGCUAGAGGUAUUUGCUUUGGCCGACACUUUAUGAUGAGUCUUUGGUAAUAAAGCCGUAGAGGCUUUUGAGUUAUACUUCUAUUUAUCUUCCAUAAAGGAAUCAUUUCAUUUCUUAUCAGAAAGAGUUUUUGCUUUCUCUCCUCUCUUUUUCUGAAGUCGUCAACGCAGAUUAACCCAGGGGAGGUCCGGCCGUUGGCCGUCGACCCUCUCCCUACCUCAGUUAGCUUUUCCUUUAGUUUUAUUAAUUUUCCCUCUUGCUUUCCUAGUUUCCUUAGUCUCCAGUUUGGAGUUAUUGGUAACCAUCUUGGAUGGGGUUUUGGUUGUGUCUCUUUUGCUGAUCUGCAUACCGGGUAUCUGAGUAAUGCAGUCGGUUGAGGGGCUUUUUGGUGUAAAUUAAGGUUGGUUUCCAGGGGCUAUCCCUGCUGACGGGUUGGCAUCUCAAGGAUAGAUCUAGUGCCAUUCGAGUGCUGAUCUUUGACCCUAAGGGCUAUAUGAGAUUGAAACGCCUAAGCACUGCCAAGCCUCUCCUGGUUCGUCGGCAUCCAUGGUCCUAGUUCAUCGGGUUCGUUUAUGAGACUGAUUUUUCUAGCUGCCUAAGUUGAUUUGUGUUGGAGAUCUCUGCUUCAAUCGGGGAUGGGGGUGUUUAGCCCGCAUGUCCGUUAAACACCCCCAUCCCCGUUGUGUUUGGUGGAGUUUCCUCUUUGUGUUGUGGCUGACGUUCUGCGACGUCUGAUGAUCCUAGUGCAGCGGCGAUCCUUCUCUGUUUUUGCCGGGUUUAGUUGGGGUCUGUCUGCCCAAGUUGGCUAGGGUUCCAAGUGAGAG